UUUGAGGUCACUAGGUCAAAGGUCAAGGUCACGGUGACUCGACAUAGUAAAAUGGUUUCCGGAUGAUAACUCAAGAACGCUUAGGCCUAGGAUCAUGAAACUUGAUAGGUAGAUUGAUCAUGACUCGCAGAUGACCCCUAUUGAUUUUCAGGUCACUAAGUCAAAGGUCAAGGUCACAGUGACCCGAAAUAGUAAAAUGGUUUCCGGAUCAUAACUCAAGAACGCUUAGGCCUAGGAUCAUGAAACUUGAUAGGUAGAUUGAUCAUGACUCGCAGACGACCCCUAUUGAUUUUCAGGUCACUAGGUCAAAGGUCAAGGUCACAGUGACCCGAAAUAGUAAAAUGGUUUCCGGAUGAUAACUCAAGAACACUUAUGCCUAGGGUCAUGAAACUUCGUAGGUAGAUUGAUAAUGGCUGGCAGAUGACCCCUAUUGAUUUUCAGGUCACUAGGUCAAAGGUCAAGGUGACCCGAAAUAGUAAAAUGGUUUCCGGAUGAUAACUCAAGAACGCUUAUGCCUAGGAUCAUGAAACUUCAUAGGUACAUUGAUCAUGACUCGCAGUUGACCCCUAUUGAUUUUCAGGUCACUAUAUCAAAGGUCAAGGUCACGGUGACCUGAAAUAGUAAAAUGGUUUCCGGAUGAUAACUCAAGAACGCUAAUGGCUACGAUCAUGAAACUUCAUAGGUACAUUGAUCAUGACUCGCAGAUGACCCCUAUUGAUUUUCAGGUCACUAGGUCAAAGGUCAAGGUCAUGGUGACCCGAAAUAGUAAAAUGGUUUCUGGAUGAUAACUCAAGAAUGCUUAUGCCUAGGAUCAUGAAACUUCAUAGGUACAUUGAUCAUGACUCACAGAUGACCCCUAUUGAUUUUUAGGUCACUAGGUCAAAGGUCAAGUUCACAGUGAC